UCUCCUGUAGCUUAGUGGUAGAGCAUUCAAAUGGGAUUCGGAAGGUCAUAGGUUCAACUCCUGAAGGGAGAA